rnacentral:tRNA from 1 species
GUCGAAGUGGCAAAAUUGUAGCUGUUGAUUCAAUAGCUUAGAUCAGCUUGCUGGAUAAGCGACCACCGCCGCGAGGCGUGCCGGUUCGAUUCCGGCCUUCGGCACCA